UACGUAGGGUGCAAGCGUUGUCCGGAAUUAUUGGGCGUAAAGAGCUCGUAGGCGGUCUGUCGCGUCGGCUGUGAAAACUCGGGGCUCAACCCCGAGCCUGCAGUCGAUACGGGCAGACUAGAGUGCGGUAGGGGAGACUGGAAUUCCUGGUGUAGCGGUGAAAUGCGCAGAUAAUCAGGAGGAACACCGGUGGCGAAGGCGGGUCUCUGGGCAAUACUGACGCUGAGGAGCGAAAGCGUGGGGAGCGAACAGG
rnacentral:rRNA from 1 species